rnacentral:rRNA from 1 species
GCUUUAGGAUGGACUCGCGUCCAAUUAGCUAGUUGGUGAGGUAACGGCCCACCAAGGCGACGAUUGGUAGCCGGACUGAGAGGUUGAACGGCCACAUUGGGACUGAGACACGGCCCAGACUCCUACGGGAGGCAGCAGUGGGGGAUAUUGCACAAUGGGGGAAACCCUGAUGCAGCGACGCCGCGUGGAGGAAGAAGGUUUUCGGAUUGUAAGCUCCUGUCGUUAGGGACGAUAAUGACGGUACCUAACAAGAAAGCACCGGCUAACUACGUGCCAGCAGCCGCGGUAAAACGUAGGGUGCAAGCGUUGUCCGGAAUUACUGGGUGUAAAGGGAGCGCAGGCGGGAAGACAAGUUGGAAGUGAAAACCAUGGGCUCAACCCAUGAAUUGCUUUCAAAACUGUUUUUCUUGAGCAGUGCAGAGGUAGAUGGAAUUCCCGGUGUAGCGGUGGAAUGCGUAGAUAUCGGGAGGAACA